CGCACAAAUACCGCACCAUGGUUCAAUCUUCAGGCACAUAGAAUGAGCACAGCGCUUUUACCGGAAUGGGUCAUGUGACCGACAUGGUCCGGUGACUGACCACGUGAUUUGAGGAACCCGGCGGGUCGCCCCUGCAGGUUCUUAACUCCACCUAGAAAGAUUCGACAUUCUUUGACCCAUAUGACCACCAGGUUCAAGAACAGUUACUACCUCUCAACCAUCAGACUCUUGAACAAAAGGGAUCAACUACACUCAUUUAAGGACUCUUUUUUUCUUGCUAUUUUAUGCUUGUUAUUUAUUGCUAUUUAUUUAUAACUGCAUUUGUGCACAGUUUGGCAAUUGAUCCUGUUUACAUUUACUGUUCUAUAGAUUUGCCAAGUAUGCCCAUCGAAAAAGGAUCCCUGGGUUGUAUAUGGUGACAUGUAUGCACUCUGAUAAUAAAUUUGACUUUGAUUGUUUUUGAAUAACCUUUUUAUAUACCUUCCUAAUAUAACUUAAUUUAUCAAAGCAAGCAACCACUUCAUGUCUGUUAAAUAGGAUUAGAAGCUGAAUUAAACUUCUCUCCCACUUUAUGGAAAUCCCCUUAACCAUGAACUGUGAUCACUUCCUUUUAUCCUUGGAACACAAGCCAAGUCCAAGUCACUUUGUAACGUACUCAUGAGGUACUUGCCUCCUGUUUGGAAUGUCUCAUGGUUUCAAACCACUCCCAGUCCUGAAGCGUUGCACAUUGCACUUUGGGCUGCAGAUGAAUGGACCUGCUCAAAUCCUUUGAGUUCAAAACACUCCCUUUCAAAUACUCGUUGUUGUCUGAUUUCAUGCUCACUCUAUGUAUUUGUGCUUACUGUAAAUACUGAACUACAGAAAGCUAAACUAAUUUUUUUUUGUAAUUCUUUUGAAAACGUCCCAUGCAUUUUUUUUAUGAAUGCAUCCGAGGUUGACAAGGAGAAUUUUGCAUUUCCUUAUAAUCUUUAAUCAACGGCUGGUGGCAUAGCGGCAUCAGUGCUGGACUUUGGGGCCAGAGGUCCCAAGUUUGAACCUGGCCGGCUCCCUUGCACGCUGUCCAUCCGUGCCUGGCUUGAGUGUUGAGCUAGCAACUCGACCUCGUAGGCCCGAAACAUCGACUGUACUUCUUCCUAUAGAUGCUGCCUGGCCUGCUGCGUUCCACCAGCAUUUUGUGUGUGUCACCUGUAUUGCAGUAUCUUUCUUAAAUUUAUACAAUUAUAGCUACAGUUAGCUGUACUGUAUAUUGCUCCUACCAGGAAAGUUUUAGCUUGCUGUUUCUCAUCUUCACCCAAACUGAUUCUAUGUUUUGAUCUUCUGAGCUGCCAUCACUUGUUACUUCUGUUUGAUCUCUGUGUAUAUUUUUUACAGUCUAUUCCACUGAAAUGCCUGCAUCAUUUGCUAUUACAUCUCUUGGGUCAUACCCAUUUCCUUUCCUAGAUACCAUCAAUUCAACUACCUUAUUGCAAAAGCUGUGUAGGUUCAGGAAAAAUAAAGCUUAUCACCAUUUCCCCUAAUUUGUCCUUGGUGCUGCAAUCUUGUAUGUUAUGUUACUCCCUUGCAUAUCCUGAUUAACAGUACAAUAUCAUUACACUCAUAACUGACUUCAAUUUUCUAAAUUUCUUCUUCAGUGAACUUUGCUCCCAAUUAUUCAGUUUAAAACAAUCAAGAUUAGCUAACAUAGUACAUUUGAUUGUGUACACACUUUAUCUUCCUGUUGUCGACUGCCCUGUUAGAGUAGUCAUUGUUCUAUCUCACUUUAUAUGGACCUUUUCUCCACCAAGAUUGUAGACUAUUUUUGCUUGAUGGCUCACCACACCUAGAUUCUGUCUUUAGCCUAAGCUUCAAAUUAUGCAAUGCGUGAAUCUUGUGACUUCUGAAAGUUUGUAAUCUAUACCUGUUGACCAAUUCCCAGUGCCUGCUCGCAAAUUAUGUGGAGCACGAGACAGAGUGAAGAUGCAAUCAAGCUUUGGGUAGUAAUUUUGAUGGACCUGAAACUGACAGUGCUGUAAUUGUGGUUAUAUUAUAGUUGUCUAUAAUUACAAAGAAAUGACCACUAGUUUGUUGAUCAUUAUAAGCCACUCUGACAUUGAACUGUGGCUGGUAGUACAAGUAGGCAGCCAUCGAUCUCAGGGGGUCAUGGGUUUGUGCCUCUGGUGGACCGUCCUCUGCAGGGUGCAAGUCUGGGUGGGAAGAUUUGAAGAACUGGCUGUUGCCCAUGCAAUGGGUUCCCCCUCUCCACGUCACUGUUGUAGUCCAAGGGAAUAGCAAGCGUUGAUACAGUUUGGCACCAAAGCUGUCACAGAGGCUGCCAGAAUGAAGUUGUAAACAACAUCAAACUGCCUUAGUGACCCUGGCUCCAGGUUUCUUCUCAAGGUUUACUCCCAAAGCCUUUCCCAUUGGUAGGUAUGGCCACAAGGCAGCAGAGGUUUAAAAUUGGUUUUCCUUCUAGGCGGACUGCGUCCAAAGUUGACAAGCCCCACCUGCCCGAAGCAACUGGUUUUGAGGUGCCAUUGGUCUGCCUUUGCCCCUUGUUACUAGGAACAGUCCCGCCGGGCCUAGUAGCUAAGCCACACGUGAAGACCAAGAGUUGGACUUGGUUGUCAGAGGCUGUUAGAGUCCCAUGCCAUUUGGAGCACUUUAUAGGUAGUGGGAGCUUAUCCCAUAACCACCCCCCCCCCACUAGGAAAUUGGGCAGUGGGUACUGAUAUUUGAUUUUGGUAACUUUUACAUUGUAGUUACAGACAUGUGAAUCAUUUACGGUAUUUAUUGUGUAUUCAACUAAGCAAUCUGGUCUUAGGAACCAAACUUUAAAAUUGAUUUUUAAGUUUACACAGUUCCUUUUUUGAGUACUGGGAAUAACAUAUUGCAUAAAUUACUGUAGAUGCCCUUCUAAAUAACUAACAGCACAUGAUUUAAAAACGCAAACAUGAGGAAAUCUGCAGAUGCUGGAAAUUCAAGCAACACACACAAAAUGCUGGUGAAACGCAGCAGGCCAGGCAGCAUCAAUGGGAAGAUGCACAGUUGACGUUUCGGGCCGAGACCCUUCGUCAGGACUAACUGAAAGAAAAGAUAUUAGUCCUGACGAUGGUGGUGUCGGCUGGAAAAGUGGACUGUGCUUCUUCCUAUAGUUGCUGCGUUCCACCAGCACAUGAUUUAAUACUGGUAUGAUCACCAAUUCAUGAACAUUGUGCAAGUGUUGCAAUCUACAAUCACAAGAUGUGGUUUCUGCAAAGCAUUUCUACUCUUAAUACUGAAAUGCUGUCAUAAAAGAUGAUAAAGCAAAAAAAAAAGUUUUGUGGCUUUGAUGCUGUUCAGUGUCAUUGUUUUUUCCACUGUGUUCCUACUCAUGUAGUUACCACAUGGUUCUGUGACAUUUGCUUCCUACUAGUUGCAUGGGGCCCCAGUGAAUGUGGUAAAACACCGCAUAUAUGCAUCGGAAACGUUAAAAAUUUCUGCAUCAGCUUCAGCAUUGACUGUGCACUUUGACAGGUUCCUAUGUAUUGGGCUUGCUGAUUGACAAGCUUUCUGAAAAUGGUUGAGUUUUUCACUGUUUCACCUCAGCAGGAUAUUCUGCUGUGUGUGAGUAGAUGUCACCACAAUAAAAGCAGUGUUCUGAGUUUAUCUUUUGAUGUUAAUGAUCUCUUCAACUAGAAUCCUGUCUACGUGUUUACCUAUUGCUGUAUCUUCUGGUCUUCCCUAAAUGAAGUAUUUACCCCAAGAAAGUGACAAUAAUCUAUGCUCUCAAGCAGAUAAGCCAGUGUGACAUCCUGUUCCAUGUAUUCUUUUAAAGUUGCUUUGAAAUGUAUCCUGUGAUGAAGAAUAUUUUUAGUUCUAACUCGAGAUUAGAAAAUUUACGCUUUGCAGAAAGUUGUUAGAUACAUGCAAUAGUGAUCAGUUGUUCUCUUCCUUCUCAUCUGGAAUGAAAGGCCACAGUCAGCUUAUAUACCACAUUCCAUGGGGUUCAGCUCAAGGCUAACGACACACUGGUAAAAGAAAAUUGUACUGAAACAAUAAUGAAGAACCUUUCUACAUUGAGUGCGAUGGUACUAGCAUGACAGUAAUGAAAACGGAGAAGAAGCUAUUGACGUGAUGAAGGAAGCUUCCAACACUGCCAGUGAUGGAGGACCUUCAGUGCUGCCCUGAACACCAGAGGUGUAACGGCCAGUAAGACAAUACAAGAUCGUUUUUACCACUACUUGUUACAAGUUAAAUGUUGCAUUAUACUCAGAUUUCAGUAGACAAGUCUGUUAAUAGUCCAAUGCAAGCCAACUUUCCAUGAAUCACCAGUUCACUUCCCUCUGCUACCUUUGGUUCACCUGCUGAGCACUUGGAGAAUGGCCUAAUGCCCUGUCUUGAUAGCAGUUACUGGACUUCAGUACUCCUCUCUUCUCCUCGAACCUUACCCCCUCUUUACUCUCUCCGCACGACUCCCAACCCUGCCAUCAAACCUGUAGACAAAACGGUUGCUAUUGUAGUGUGGUGGACUGCUUCUACCUUGUUGAGGCAAGGUGGCAACUCUCAAACACCUCUUAAGGACCUCACUCUGGAUUAUCAGAAAAUUGUCUCUGACACCAACACUGACCUCAGCAACUCUGGAGAACUUCCAUCCGCUGCCACCAAACUCAUAGUUUCCUUACCCCUCACUGCUCGCUUCUACCUUCUGCCCAACAUCCACAAACUUGACUGUACCCCAUCUCUGCCUGCUCCUGCCCCACUGAGCUCAUGUCCUCAUACCUUGACUCCAUUCUAUCCCCCUUGGUUCAGUCCCUUCCCACCUACAUCUGCAACACUACAUGCUCCCAGUCUCCUCAACAAUUUUCAGUUCCCUGGCCUGAUCACCCUAUUUUCACCAUGGAUAUCUAGUCCCUAUACAUUUUUAUUCUCUCCCCCCCCCACCCCGUUAAGAAGACCUUAAAGCUCUCUUGUUUCUCUUUCAAAAGAAGACACAACCAGUUCCCCUCCUCCAUCUGGCUGAAGUCAUCCAGCGCCUCAACAAUUUCUCUGUCAGCUCCUUCCAUUUUCUAAGGGGAAGCCAUGGGCACCAACGUGGGCCCCAGCUAUGCUUGCAUUUUCAUUGGCUACACAGAGCAGGCCAUGUUCCAAGCCUUCCCCGGUAAUGCCGCCUAACUUCCGGCACUAUAUUGAUGAUUGCAUUGGUGCUGUUUCAUGUUUCAUCAAUUUCAUCAACUUUGCUUUCAGCUUCCACUCUGCCCUUAAAUUCACUUGGUCCAUUUCUGACUCCUCUCUCUCCUUUCUUGAUCUCUUCACCUCCAUCUGUGGAAAGAAAUUAUCAACUGGUAUCUUUUAUAAAUCUACUGAUUCCAAUGGUGGUCUUGACUGUACCCUUUUCUACCCUGUCUCCUGUACAAAUGCUAUUGCCUUACCUCAGUUUCUUUAUCUUUGCUUCAUUUGUUCCCAGGACACAAUUUUCCAUUCCAGGACUUAAGAAAUGUCCUCCUCCUUCAAAGACUGGGAUUUCCCUUCCUCCACGUGCAUCUCCUCCAGACAUCCACGCUCACCCCAUCUUUCACCAAACUCAUUCCUCCCCCACCCCCCACACAUUCUCUGCUUUCUGCACCGACUGCUCCUUCUGUAAUUCCCUUGUCUCUAACUCCACCCAUUAAUCUCCCUCCUGGCACAUAUCCCUGCAAUCAACAGAUAUUCUGCUUCCAACCUGAUGGUAUGGACAUUGAUCUCCACUUCUGGAAAUAUUAUUUUCCUUCUCCCUUCCCUCUUCUAAUCCCCAUCUCCUCCUCACCUGCCUCUCUCUGGUGCCACUCCUCGUUCCCUUUCUCCCAUGGCCCACUCUGUUUUCCUAUCAGAUUCCUUCUUCUCCAGUUCUUUACCUUUCCCACCUGGCUGGCUUCACCUAUACCCUUGUAGCUCGUUCUCCUACCCCCCCCCCCCCCACUUCUUUAUUCUGACGUCUUUCCAUUUCCUUCCAGUCCUGAGAAAGGUCCUUGGUCUGAAAUGUCGACUGUUUAUUAAUUUCCAUAAAUGCCUGACCUGCUGAGCUCGUCAGCAUUUUGUGUUUGUUAGCAGUUACUGCCUCAGUUUUUAUUACAAUUAUGUAACAACAUAAUUUUAAGUUACAAUGGCUAUAAAAAGUAUCUACCCCCCUGUGGUAAGCUAUGUAUACCUGUCUGGACAUGCCCCUCUGCUGACUGCUCCUGUGGCAACUCCCACAGACCCCUGUAUAAAGGUGAUUGGGGCACUGCUCCUCCCUCAGUGUCCGAGAUGUUGUGCUCCCUUUUGCUGCUAAUAAAAGCCUAUCAUUCA